GACGAACGCUGGCGGCGUGCUUAACACAUGCAAGUCGAACGGAAAGGCCCUGCUUUUGUUGGGUGCUCGAGUGGCGAACGGGUGAGUAACACGUGAGUAACCUUCCCUUGACUUUUGGAUAACUUCAGGAAACUGUGGCUAAUACCGGAUAGGAUCUCCUGCUGCAUGGUGGGGGUUGGAAAGUUUCGGCGGUUGGGGAUGGACUCGCGGCUUAUCAGCUUGUUGGUGGGGUAGUGGCUUACCAAGGCUUUGACGGGUAGCCGGCCUGAGAGGGUGACCGGCCGGAUUGGGAGUGAGAGAGGGACCAGACUCAUACGGGAGGCAGGAGGGGGGAAUAAUGAACAAGGGGCGGAAGCAUGAUGCAGCAACGGCGCGUGCGGGAUGAAGGCCUUCGGGUUGUAAACCGCUUUCGCUUGUGACGAAGCGUGAGUGACGGUAAUGGGUAAAGAAGCACCGGCUAACUACGUG
rnacentral:rRNA from 1 species